CAAACAUUUAAAGAAGAGCUUUAUGUGAAUCACAGAGCUUUUGAGAGCAGAGUCAAGUUAAUUUUCUGUUCUUUUACCAUAGAUCAACUAUGUUUAGAUUGGCUUUGAUUUCUCUAUGCGUCAUAGCACAUUAUGAUGUGUCUUUGGGACAGGACAGGGUUGAACAGUCUUCACGAGAAAUUACUGAAGAUGAAAGAGAUCAAGUUAUUGUAAGGUGUAAUUAUUUUGCCACUGAUAAAAACAUAAACCUUUUCUGGUACAAACAACUACCAAACAGAUCACCAACAUUAAUUCUGGGUCAAUACAGCACUGAGCUGGAAUUUAAGAAGAGAUUUUCUGCAACAAUGAACUCUACAUCAUUUCCACUGAUGAUCAAGAACCUACAUGUGUCUGACUCUGCUGUGUACUACUGUGCUCUGAGGCCCACAGUGACAGAAACACACUCAACACUCACACAAGAACAGAGGAAGUGCUCAGCUAUAUGAUACGUAUGCACAUUCAUCUUACUGUAUAUGAUCUUGUUACAUUUUCUAGACUGAAUCACAAAACAAUAAAGAGAAUAACAUUUACAACUCA